GUCUACAGCCGUGCCACCCUGAACAGGCCUGAUCCUGUCUGAUCUCAGAAGCUAAGCAGGGUCAGGAGGCCUGAUUAGUACUUGGAUGGGAGACCACCUAGGAAGACCAGGGGCUGUAGGUG
rnacentral:rRNA from 1 species